rnacentral:rRNA from 1 species
AAGUCGAGGGUAGAGGAAGCUUGCUUCCUUGAGACCGGCGCACGGUGCGUAACGCGUAUACAAUCUACUUUACANAGGGAUAGCCCAGAGAAAUUUGGAUUAAUACCUCAUUAGUAUUUUCGGAUCGCAUGAUUUGACUAUUAAAGUCACAACGGCAAAAAGAUGAGCAUGCGUCCCAUUAGCUAGUUGGUAAGGUAACGGCUUACCAAGGCUACGAUGGGUAGGGGUCCUGAGAGGGAGAUCCCCCACACUGGUACUGAGACACGGACCAGACUCCUACGGGAGGCAGCAGUGAGGAAUAUUGGACAAUGGGCGCAAGCCUGAUCCAGCCAUGCCGCGUGCAGGAUGACGGUCCUAUGGAUUGUAAACUGCUUUUAUACAGGAAGAAACACUCCGACGUGUCGGAGCUUGACGGUACUGUAAGAAUAAGGAUCGGCUAACUCCGUG